AGCACUUUCUAAUCAACUAAACAUUGAUAAUAAUGAUUCUAAUGCCUAUAACUAAGUAUGAAUCACCAUAACAUGAAGUAAAGACUUUACCUGAGCAUCGUGAUUCAUGUCGUGAGUUAUCUCCGCCUUCUCCGAAGUCUUGGAUUCUUCGUUCUUCGACGAUAUGCUCCAAAACCUUCAAGACUCCGACUCAAUCCAUGAAACUUGCCAACAUACAAGACUUAACACUAUCUUUAGGAACAUCAUCAAUUGUUGUUCAUGUUUUAGUUCCUACACCCAUUCUACAUGAGUGUCAACAUUUUUGUCAAACAAUUCAUCAUCAUCUGUUAAGUCAUAGUCACUUUCUAUAAAUAAACUAUCACUUUCAUCAUCAGACCUAUUAGCAUGGUCCUUUUCACCAUCAUCCAUCUCUUCAUCCCUAUUAUCCAACUCCUCUGCAAUAACAUGAUCAUCUGGAUGUUGUCGAUUGCUAUCAUUAUUCAGCUCAUCCA
rnacentral:lncRNA from 1 species